rnacentral:lncRNA from 1 species
GGAUGUCUGUUCCAUUAUAAAGUCUGGUAGGAUUUCAAUUUUUCAUCCAUAAUUAAUAAACGGCGUAAUUUUAUCGAUGAUGACGAGGAGGAGGACAUGGUCUUGUAUUCGAGUGCUCGUGCAUCUCCGAUGAAGCACUCAUCCCCUGCUAUAUGCUGAGCUAGAGAUCGCAGGAGGUCAUGCAUCCUGCAACCUGAUUGAUCAUACCAAUGAGGAACCGGCUGUAGGAGGUUCCUUUGUACCAACUCCUUCCAAUAUCCUUCUGCCACAUCU